ensembl:lncRNA
AUUCGAUCAGAUUCUGAAAUCUCAGGCACUGACCCACACCACACCAUGCACACUGCAGCUCUGCAGUCUUUAUGUAGGCUAUAUUAUUUUAACAACACCAGGAAUUUCCUUUUAGAUCACUAGGUCUACUUUCAAGGGGACUGGUAAACUUUUAAGUCAACCAAUCUCUGGUGUGUCCGCUUAUCGAGGCUAUAACCCGGGGGAAUUAAUUAAUUUCUAAAUGAAUCAGCAAGUUAAUGAUCUGACGUAUUCUUUGCACAACGAUGCAUUAUUUGUGUUUGUUUUUGAAAGAUUUACGCCAAUUCUUACCACAGAGUGCUUGCACUUACAUUGCCUGUCUGCCAUGGUGUCUCUCGUUGUGUCUCGGUCACUCCCACUACACGCUCCGCCGAGGAGAGGCUGAGCUGAGCUUCUUACAACCUGAGCCCCGAGUCGAGUCAAGAAACAGAAUUUCAUGUAUCCAGAUUGUAGAGAAAGCAUCUUUAAAAGAUUCACAAAACGUAAAGUUUAGGUGGACUUUCGGUUAUCGUUGUAGGAUAAAGCAGCCCCGGCUCUCGCUGUGUCCUCGCGCUCCACAAAGUAAAAGUACCCGAGUCCUCUGCCGCCGCGUCUCGGUCCAUCCCCUCCCAGAGGUCGUUAAGAGGGCUUUUACUUUGGAAACCUGGAAGUAACACUUCUCUGGUUAACCAGCCAGAAACAAGAUGGAGGACGUGUCGUACCAGGAGAGACUGCAGGCCAUCGCAGAGAGGCGUCGCCAGCAGGAAGAGGAGGAAAAGGUGAAGAGAGAGACGGAAGAAGAGAAGUGGAAGUUGGCCCAGAAACAGAAAAAGUCCUUAAGAGAUCAGUGGUUCAGUGAUCCAGGUGAUGCCCUCGAGGUACAGUCAGACUUGCCCCAGCUGCACAGUCAAUCAACGACUGAGGAAGGAGAACAGGAAGUCUGCAUCAGAGGACCGAAGGACUCAGCUUCUGUGGUGAGUUCAGGGAAAGAAGUCUACAUCCAAGGGACUGGAGGAAGUGACAUCACCGAAGACAUGUCACAACAGAUCUUCCACGAGGGUGGCCAAGAUGGCCGAUCAGUCCUGGGGAUGGUGGCGGUGCAGGUGGAGGUGGACCCCCGGACGGGCGCCACCGUGGUCCGCUCCGUGGCGCCCAUGUCGGCGCCGGUGGGCGCCAUGGCGACCACGGUGUUCGACGACGGCCGCAAGAGCGUGCACGCCAUCGGCGGGGGCGGCGCCCAGCCCUCGGCGGAGGAGCUGGGCCGCAUCCUGAGCGCCAUCGACGGCGUGGGGAUGACGGUGCUGCUGGACGACGUCGCCGUGACGACGAGCGAGAGCGCGGCGUCGGACGCCAGCGCCGGAGAACGUUCCCGGGGGUCCCCGGCGGCCGCGGGGUCCGUGGACGCAUCCGUGGACGAGGUGAGGGGCGGAUCGGGGGGCGGGGCCCAGGUCAGGGAGGCGGGAGCGGAGGAGGGAGGGGGCGUGGCCGUCACCCGCGGCCAGGUGGAGUCUGCCAUGACGGUGAGGGAGGCGGCCGGUCAGCCAAUCGUCACGGAGGAGGCGCCGGGGGCGGGGCCGGACUACGAGACCCCGGUGGUCCUGACCUUUCUGGGCUACGCCGACUCCGACCAGCGGGAGGGGCCGGAGGGCGUGGCCCUGGGCCGAGACGACCGGGGGGGCGUGCUCACCGUGGAGCGAGUGGUCAUCGACGCCGGGGACGAAGACGGCGACGAAGAGGAGAAGGAGGAGGUUCUGGAGCCCUCCGUGAACGGGGGUCCCGCGGGGCCGGGCGGGGCCCCUGAGCAGGACGGAGCGUUCCAGGAGGUCCGGCUGGACGGGAGCGUGAAGCGGGCCCCGGCCAAGGGGGCGGAGCCUGACAAGGUGCCCUCGGAGCCGGCCACACCCAAGGAGGGGAGCAAGGAGACAGAGGAGUCCUCCAAACCCAAGGCCUGUCAAUGCUGCUCUGUCAUGUAGCAGGGAGGGGGAGGAGAGAAGGAGAGGGAGAAAUAAAGAAAGGAAACGAGAAAGUACCGCAAACCACUUCUGCCUCCUGUUGGACAAAACUGAGAACUACAACGAGGGAGAGGGAGAGGGAGAGGGGGAGAGAGGGAGAAAGGGAGAGAGGGAGAGAGAAUUUGCCACGGAUCAUAGCAUGUUAUAUGCUGUUUUAUUUAACCUGAUUAAUCUAAGAAAUAACAAACAAACAUUGCCAUGGCUGCCUCUUACAUUAUAUUUGACAAUACAUGACAAUUUCAUGACAUUCAUUUCAUUCAAAUAAGCAUAACAUUAACAUUGUGUUCAGGUUAGUAUUACACAACAUGAUUAUAAUUGAUCAUUUAGUUCAUUCUGCAGAUGCAGAUUGAACAUAUUGUAUUGUGUACGAAAUAGGUACAACGCCUUGCAGUGACCACAGACGACAUCAUACUAAGAUAAGAGAAAAGUUCGCUGGAUAACAAUUGUGUUUUUGUUUGUUCAUCCAACCGGAAAGCGGUGGAUUACUACAACCACUACUCUAUCCGCGUGGCCGAGAACAGAGCACUUGUUUUGAGGGACAGUGACUGAAUUACCGCUGAAGCGUAUUUAAUGUAAACCAUGCUCGCCCCCUGCUGGAAGACAAGGAGAACUACAAUGACCGGGGCUCGCAUACAGGCUUGAGCCAAGAGAUCACACACACGCAUCACUCACAUGGAUUAAGACCCCAAAGGAAGAAUUGUAAUCGUUACGGUACAAAUCGCCUGUGUAUCCUACGUUAUUUCCAAAGGAUACAAAGCAUUUAAUUGAAUAAAAUAUCUUCAUAACAUAUAGACUUUUAACAUUACAAUAUUGAAAUGUUACUCAUUACUUUACUCAUGUUUCUUUGGGGUUAUUUUUUAACCAGUUUUUGACCACUUGACUGUAGCUGCUGGAGAAUUGUGAUCAACUGGACAACUGGAAUGUAUCAUUAAAUAAUGUUGUUUGAAAGGGUUGUUGUUCCCUUAUUCUUGUUGAUGACCGCUGGAAUCUGUCGACUCGUAUCCUGAUCCUCAGGUCAGCUGACAGAAAGCAGGUGUGCGAGUCCUGCAGGUGUUAAUCAGGUUCAUAAGCCCCAAGGCUCA